rnacentral:rRNA from 1 species
UACGGGGGGGUAAGCGUUGUUCGGAAUUACUGGGCGUAAAGGGCUCGUAGGCGGCCAACUAAGUCAGACGUGAAAUCCCUCAGCUUAACUGGGGAACUGCGUCUGAUACUGGAUGGCUUGGAUUCGGGAGAGGAAUGCGGAAUUCCAGGUGUAGCGGUGAAAUGCGUAGAUAUCUGGAGGAACACCGGUGGCGAAGGCGGCAUCCUGGACCGGCAUUGACGCUGAGGCGCGAAAGCCAGGGGAGCAAACGG